AUUGAACGCUGGCGGCAGGCUUAACACAUGCAAGUCGAGCGAGCGGCGGACGGGUGAGUAAUGUCUGGGAAACUGCCUGAUGGAGGGGGAUAACUACUGGAAACGGUAGCUAAUACCGCAUACCAUCGGAUGUGCCCAGAUGGGAUUAGCUAGUAGGUGGGGUAACGGCUCACCUAGGCGACGAUCCCUAGCUGGUCUGAGAGGAUGACCAGCCACACUGGAACUGAGACACGGUCCAGACUCCUACGGGAGGCAGCAGUGGGGAAUAUUGCACAAUGGGCGCAAGCCUGAUGCAGCCAUGCCGCGUGUGGGAUGACGGCCUUCGGGUUGUAAACCGCUUUCAGCCAUGACGCGGUAGUGGCAGAAGAAGCACCGGCUAACUACGUGCCAGCCGCCGCGGUAAUUC
rnacentral:rRNA from 1 species